CACGUAGGGCGCAAGCGUUGUCCGGAAUUAUUGGGCGUAAAGAGCUCGUAGGCGGUCUGUUGCGUCCGCUGUGAAAACUUGGGGCUUAACCCCGAGCCUGCAGUGGAUACGGGCAGACUAGAGGUAGGUAGGGGAGAAUGGAAUUCCCGGUGUAGCGGUGAAAUGCGCAGAUAUCAGGAAGAACACCCGUGGCUAAGGCGGCUCUCUAGUACGGUACUGACGCUGAGGUGCGAAAGCGUGGGGAGCAAACAGG
rnacentral:rRNA from 1 species